ensembl:lncRNA
GUUCCACAACAGCGACACACCGAUCCUAACACCGUCCGUUCGCAGUCAAACUGUGCGCUGUUUACUUUAAUGCUGUAUAUUCCAGUAAACACCGCGCUUCUGGUGGCACCGAGUAUUACGUGUCAGCCGGGGCUGGUUGGGCCAGGCUCUCAUUAGCUCGGGGCGAGGUGUACAAUACACAAGUUAGAGAUCCGCAGUUAAAUGGGGGUUACAUGGUGAUAAGCACCGUAAUGCGGACCGAAUGUGUGUGUAAGCAUGUCCCCGACACACCGCGUGUGGACGGAGCGCUGGUCCGAGGCUAACGAUAGCCCCGCAGAGAGCUGCUCAUGGGGAAACGCACCCUGCUAACACACUAGCCUGCAGGACAGGACAACACACCACCACCAUACUAGCAGGACCCGACCACACACACGAACAGGUAGAGCCACACACCACCGGGACCCGACAACACACCACCACGUAGACCCUGGACACACCAGCAGGACCCUCGGCGUUACGCGGGCCGCCAUGUCGCUGUGUCUCCGCGGAGCACGUCGAUUGAGCGUCUCACGGGUCUGGAGAACCAAGUGCCACUUAGCCCCGAGAGUUCAGCCCGUCUCACCGAGCCAGGAGAACCCGGACCCACAGGGUCUCACCGGGACACGGAGGAUCCGGACCAGCGGACAACACCCUCAAGGAAAUGGGCAGAAGGAGGGGUUGAAAGACUGCGCUGCUCAGAGGAACAGGAUCAGCCACCAUUACACCGACACUCUCACGUUACAGCCACCGGCCACUAGGCGGAGCUCUUUCAUAGGCGUGGAUUACCAAGAGUUCCCAGACUGUUGUAUACAAAUACCAG